rnacentral:misc_RNA from 1 species
UUCAUCCAUAUAACUGGACCUCAGUUUGAAGCGAAUCAUAUAAAUCACCCAUAGUGUUGUCAACAAUGUAGCUGAAUCAAGUAAAGUGUGUAUGUCAUAUUCCAUGACCAAACUGCAAUAGAGUCUAACAGCUAAAAAUAUAGCUGUCAGCUCCUGUGAUUUCAGUGAAAGUCCGGCACAAGUCUUCUCCUUAAUAAGCUUGUAAAUUAGGACAGAGAUUCCAAUGGCAUGAAC